rnacentral:rRNA from 1 species
AUUGAACGCUGGCGGCAGGCCUAACACAUGCAAGUCGAGCGGAUGAAGGGAGCUUUCUCCUGGAUUCAGCGGCGGACGGGUGAGUAAUGCCUAUGAAUCUGCCUGGUAGUGUGUUAUAACGUCCGUAAACGGGCGCUAAUACCGCAUACUUCCUUAUUGUGAAAGUUGGUGAUCUUCGUACCUCUCGCUUUCUUAUGAGCCUAGGUCGGAUUAGCUAGUUGGUGUGGUAAAGGCCUACCAAGCCGACGAUCCGUAACUGGUCUGAGAGGAUGAUAAGUCACACUGGAAGUGAGACACGGUACAGAGGACUAAGGGAGGCAGCAGAGGGGAAUAGUGGACAAAGGGCGAAAGCAUGAUACAGAAAUGGCGCGUGUGAGAAGAAGGAGUUCGGAUUGUAAAGAACGUUAAGUGGGGAGGAAGGGAAGUAAGUGAAAACCUUGCUGUAGUGACGUUAACAAAAGAAUAAGCACCGGCUAACUACGUG